GAUGAACGCUGGCGGCGUGCCUAAUACAUGCAAGUCGAGCGAACGGACGAGAAGCUUGCUUUUCUGAUGUUAGCGGCGGACGGGUGAGUAACACGUGGAUAACCUACCUAUAAGACUGGGAUAACUUCGGGAAACCGGAGCUAAUACCGGAUAAUAUUUUGAACCGCAUGGUUCAAAAGUGAAAGACGGUCUCGCUGUCACUUAUAGAUGGAUCCGCGCUGCAUUAGCUAGUUGGUAAGGUAACGGCUUACCAAGGCAACGACGCAUAGCCGACCUGAGAGGGUGAUCGGCCACACUGGAACUGAGACACGGUCCAGACUCCUACGGGAGGCAGCAGUAGGGAAUCUUCCGCAAUGGGCGAAAGCCUGACGGAGCAACGCCGCGUGAGUGAUGAAGGUCUUCGGAUCGUAAAACUCUGUUAUUAGGGAAGAACAUAUGUGUAAGUAACUGUGCACAUCUUGACGGUACCUAAUCAGAAAGCCACGGCUAACUACGUG
rnacentral:rRNA from 1 species